AAUAGAUACCCCGGUAGUCCACGCCGUAAACGAUGAAUGCUAGGUGUUAGGGGUUUCGAUACCCUUGGUGCCGAAGUUAACACAUUAAGCAUUCCGCCUGGGGAGUACGGCCGCAAGGCUGAAACUCAAAGGAAUUGACGGGGACCCGCACAAGCAGUGGAGUAUGUGGUUUAAUUCGAAGCAACGCGAAGAACCUUACCAGGUCUUGACAUCCCCCCUGACCGGCGCAGAGAUGCGCCUUUCCCUCGGGACAGGGGAGACAGGUGGUGCAUGGUUGUCGUCAGCUCGUGUCGUGAGAUGUUGGGUUAAGUCCCGCAACGAGCGCAACCCUUGACUUUAGUUGCCAGCAAGUAAGGUUGGGCACUCUAGAGUGACUGCCGGUGACAAACCGGAGGAAGGUGGGGAUGACGUCAAAUCAUCAUGCCCCGUUAUGACCUGGGCUACACACGUACUACAAUGGCCGGUACAACGGGAAGCGAAGGAGCGAUCCGGAGCGAAUCCUUUAAAGCCGGUCUCAGUUCGGAUUGCAGGCUGCAACUCGCCUGC
rnacentral:rRNA from 1 species